AAUUCGUGGACUGCAUCGAGACGCCCGAAAGCGAAGGCAUUUGCCAAGAGUGUUUUCAUUAAUCAAGAACGAAAGUCAGAGGUUCGAAGGCGAUUAGAUACCGCCCUAGUUCUGACCGUAAACGAUGCCAACUAUCAAUCCGCCAGCGGCUUUCAAGUCGUUGGCGGGCGGAUCGACGGAAACGAAAGUUUUUCGGUUCCGGGGGAAGUAUGGUUGCAAAGCUGAAACUUAAAGGAAUUGACGGAAGGGCACCACCAGGAGUGGAGCUUGCGGCUUAAUUUGACUCAACACGGGAAACCUCACCCGGCCAGUACAUCAUGAGGAUUGACAGAUUGAAAGCUCUUUCAUGAUUUGAUGAAUGGUGGUGCAUGGCCGUUCUUAGUUCGUGGCGUGAGUCGUCUGCUUAAUUGCGAUAACGAGCGAGACUCCGAUGGCUAAAUACCGGUGCCUUCGCUUCGAGACACUCGGUUCUUAGCCAGAUUUACGGCUGCAAGUCGGAAGAAAUGGAGCAAUAACAGGUCUGUGAUGCCCUUAGAUGUUCGGGGCCGCACGCGUGCUACAAUGAUGGUAACAGCGUGAUUGUCCUCGCCCGACAGGGCUUGGCAAACAGUUGAGAUAUUAUUAUGGCUGGAAUUGAGUGUUGAAAUUUUCUCUCAUGAACGAGGAAUUCCAAGUAAAUGCGCGUCAUCAACGUGCAUUGAUUACNGUCCCUGCCCUUUGUACACACCGCCCGUCGCUACCCGGGACUGAGCCGUUUCGAGAAAUUCACGGACGCGACCGUUCGCGGUCGUGAAAGUAACUUAAUCGCAAUGGCUUGAACCGGGUAAAAUCACAAAGGGGGGGCAAAAA
rnacentral:rRNA from 1 species